CAAGGAUUAAAGAAUAACAAAUCAAAAAUUUUCACCAAAAUAUAACAUUUUACACAGAAGUCAUCACUGACUUGGGGAGGAAGGACUUAGUAAUUUUAAACCUUUUUAAUCCAUUCAUGGUUGAUUGAUUGUUCUUCCUAAGGCUUUGGUGGUUCUGCAGCAGCAGAUUCCUCCACCUUUGGAGGAGGAGCCUCAGCAGCAGCUUCUGGCUCAGUAGGUUUAGGUUUUUUAACCUCCUCUUUCUUCUCCUCCACCACCACCUCUUCUUUUUUCUCUUCUUCGAUCACUAUCUCCUUUUCUUUUACAACACCACUUGUUUCCUCCUCAGUUUUUGUUGCUUCUGCUGGCGGUGGCAGCGGCUCUACCGUUUCCUCAGUCACAAUGAAUGUUGAGACCUUCUCGAACACAAAGAAAACUGGACCUGAAACAUAGGCUGACCCAUAUUUUGAAGAGGCUUCUGAUACUGUUUUGGAUCCUGGGAAUUCUGUUCAUGCAAAUAUAGAUUCAACCCAAUUAAUUAAAUAAUUAAAAACACAAGAAGUUUUUAAGAAUUAAACCCAAAAAUCGUUGAAUAUGAUUUAAAUAAUUUACAUACCAAUUUUAGCCAACUCUUCAAGGAACUUGUGGACUGCGGCUGAGUACUUCUUCAAUCCUGACUCUUUGCGCUCCUUAACCAAAAUCUGUUAAAUAUGAAAUUAAGUUAAAGAAAAAGAGUUUAUGACCACUUAAUUAUUGGUUUAUUAAUUCACUCUUUUAUUGUUUAUCUCUUAAGUUGUCUUAUGAACAAGAUUUUUGGCAUACACAGAUACAUACUUGUAUGCAACUGGUGACAAGACAUAUUUUCUCAUCUUAUACGACAAGUUUCUAAAUAUCUUACCUUGAUUUCAGCUGAGGAAGCUUCAUAUAAUUCAAUUACUUUUGGUUGAAGCUCAGCCUUCUUCUCUUCAAACUCCUUGGUUAUUUCCUCCUGAAAGCAGAUGCAUAUACAGUUAUACCACAAAUAUCGAUGAACCGUUUUAUCCGUAUGAUUUUCUUCAGAAAAUA
rnacentral:lncRNA from 1 species